GGGGGCAACCCCUUGAGAGUGGCGAACGGGUGAGUAAUGUAUCGGAACGUGCCCAGUCGUGGGGGAUAACGUAGUGAAAAUUACGCUAAUACCGCAUACGAUCUAUGGAUGAAAGCGGGGGAUCGCAAGACCUCGCGCGAUUGGAGCGGCCGAUAUCAGAUUAGGUAGUUGGUAGGGUAAAGGCCUACCAAGCCAACGAUCUGUAGCUGGUCUGAGAGGACGACCAGCCACACUGGAACUGAGACACGGUCCAGACUCCUACGGGAGGCAGCAGUGGGGAAUUUUGGACAAUGGGCGAAAGCCUGAUCCAGCCAUUCCGCGUGCAGGAUGAAGGCCCUCGGGUUGUAAACUGCUUUUGUACAGAACGAAAAGGUUUCUAUUAAUACUAGGAGCUCAUGACGGUACUGUAAGAAUAAGCACCGGCUAACUACGUGCCAGCAGCCGCGGUAAUACGUAGGGUGCAAGCGUUAAUCGGAAUUACUGGGCGUAAAGCGUGCGCAGGCGGUUAUAUAAGUCAGAUGUGAAAUCCCCGGGCUCAGCCUGGGAACUGCAUUUGAGACUGUAUAGCUAGAGUACGGUAGAGGGGGAUGGAAUUCCGCGUGUANCAGUGAAAUGCGUAGAUAUGCGGAGGAACACCGAUGGCGAANGCAAUCCCCUGNACCUGUACUGACGCUCAUGCACGAAAGCGUGGGGAGCAAACAGGAUUAGAUACCCUGNUAGUCCACGCCCUAAACGAUGUCNACUGGUUGUUGGGUCUUAACUGACUCAGUAACGAANCUAACGCGUGAAGUUGACCGCCUGGGGAGUACGGCCGCAANGNU
rnacentral:rRNA from 1 species